GCAUAUCAAUAAGCGGAGGAAAAGAAACCAACAGGGAUUGCCUCAGUAACGGCGAGUGAAGCGGCAACAGCUCAAAUUUGAAAUCUGGCCUCUUGGGGUCCGAGUUGUAAUUUGUAGAGGAUGUUUCGGGUACCGCCCCGGUCUAAAUUUCUUGGAACAGAAUGUCAGAGAGGGUGAGAAUCCCGUCUUGGACCGGUGGUAGGGCCUAUGUGAAACUCCUUCGACGAGUCGAGUUGUUUGGGAAUGCAGCUCAAAAUGGGUGGUAAAUUUCAUCUAAAGCUAAAUAUUGGCCAGAGACCGAUAGCGCACAAGUAGAGUGAUCGAAAGAUGAAAAGCACUUUGAAAAGAGAGUUAAACAGUAUGUGAAAUUGUUGAAAGGGAAGCGCUGGCAAUCAGACUUGCGCGCGGCGGUUCCCCCUGCCUUUUGGCUGGGUUAUUCCGCCGUGUCCAGGCCAACAUCGGUUCUGGGGGCCGGUUAAAGGCCUUGGGAAUGUACCUACCCUUCGGGCGUAGACUUAUAGCCCAAGGUGUCAUGCGGCCUCCCGGGACCGAGGAACGCGCUUCGGCUCGGAUGUUGGCGUAAUGGUUGUCAGCGACCCGUCUUGAAACACGGACC
rnacentral:rRNA from 1 species